rnacentral:rRNA from 1 species
CGGGACGGGUGAGUAACGCGUGGGCAACCUGCCCCGUGCCGGGGGAUACCGCCUGGAAACAGGCGCUAAUACCGCAUAAGCGCACAGCUUUGCAUGAAGCAGUGUGAAAAACUCCGGUGGUGUAAGAUGGACCCGCGUCUGAUUAGCUGGUUGGCAGGGUAAAGGCCUACCAAGGCGACGAUCAGUAGCCGGCCUGAGAGGGUGAACGGCCACAUUGGGACUGAGACACGGCCCAGACUCCUACGGGAGGCAGCAG